rnacentral:rRNA from 1 species
GAUGAACGCUGGCGGCGUGCUUAACACAUGCAAGUCGAACGAAGCGCUUGAAUGGAAUUUUUCGGAAGGAAGCUCAAGUGACUGAGUGGCGGACGGGUGAGUAACGCGUGGGUAACCUGCCUCAUACAGGGGGAUAACAGUUAGAAAUGACUGCUAAUACCGCAUAAGCACACGUGAUCGCAUGAUCGAGUGUGAAAAACUCCGGUGGUAUGAGAUGGACCCGCGUCUGAUUAGCUAGUUGGUGGGGUAAUGGCCCACCAAGGCGACGAUCAGUAGCCGGACUGAGAGGUUGAACGGCCACAUUGGGACUGAGACACGGCCCAG